GUCACACAGAGUUGGACAUGACUGAAUCGACUUAGCAGCACAGCAGCAGCAGCAAGAUCUAGGGAAUUUAAAUGCCUGCUAUGAUCACAGUUAGCAAAGUUCUUAUCCUCUUACCUAAGCCCAUGACAUUUCACUGAGGCUUCUGUUCCUCUUCUCCCUUACCUAUGGUAAAUAGGACAAGUUGGGCAUGCACAGGAUAUAUGAGGAUUAAGUUAGAUCCAAACCUGAAGAAAAUACUUACAGAAACCUUAUCCACAGCUAUUUUCCUUUAUUUGCUGCGAUCCUCUACUACCUUGCAGUUUCACGAAGUAAUUUCAGGGUUAUUAAAUGUGAACAGCUUAAAGUUAUGUAAUUAAUUGCACUCAGGUUUGGUUACAAUUCCUGAUUGAUCCAAGCCUGCCAGCUUAGCACCUGGCAGCAGUCAGGAACACGACAGUGAUGGCAGGCAGGUGGUUGCAAUAAUUAGGUUGUUACUUUUUUUUUUCCUCCCCUCCUGCCUCGAAUACCAGGUGGUCUAAACCCCGGGGUCAGGUAGACUGUGUUUGGCCCACGGGUGCCAUUUCUGAUUCUGGAGUUCUUUUGAAGAAACUGAGAGCUGUGGCAGGACAUGCUAGUCGAUGAGAAUAGGGUAAAUAAAACACAAGAACCCUGCUGGCUUUCCUGAGGCAGAACUGGUGACCAGGAUCCUGACAGAAGGUCCAGAGGAAGAAAAAGACUGCUUGACCUGCAGUCGUUGUAUCUGAGCUUUUGACCUGCAAGCUUGCCUCUUCUAACCAGAGUCUUGGAAGCAAGGAGGGAUGAAGGCCUAAAGAAGGAGGGACGUGUGAAGUGAUUGCUGCGCACAGAUGUUGUAAUAAAAACCGCAUUGAGGAGCGGUCGCAAACAGUCAAGUGUUCCUGUCUCCCUGGGAAAGUGGCUGGAACAACAAGAAACCGACCUUCCUGUGUCGAUGUUUUUAGGAGGAAAAUGAGAGACUUCUGACUUGGUCUUCAGGAAAAAGCCAACGAAAAUCAAAAACAAAAUUGACCAGUUUGUUCACAGUUCUUGGAAAAAUGCCUUUUGCAUACCUCCAUUGUGAUCGGGAAAUGGUGGUGUGAGAUGGAGCCUUGUCUAGAAGGAGAAGAGUGUAAGACACUCCCUGAUAAUUCUGGAUGGAUGUGUGCUACAGGCAAUAAAAUCAAGACCACAAGACAGUAUUUCAUACCUGUUUCCUGUUCCCUGCAUCUAUAAAGCCAUUGGCCCCUCUUCAAUUUGGAGCAACAAAUUCUCUGAAGACUCUCCCAUACACGUCCUCAGUUUAUGUCUCAAAUAUGUGUCCUUGUCUUCCAUUUUAAUCAUCCAUCCAUUUAUUUAUUCAUUCUACACAUUUUUUGGACACAUAGUAUGUAUCAGGUACUCUUCCAGCUGUUGUGGAUUCAAUAGUGAAUCCAAAAUUCCUACUUCAUAAAAUUUAAUUUAACUUUCUAGUAGAAGAAACAGAACCCGCUAGUGAAAAAUAAUAUGAAGCAGGGAAGGAAAUGUCAAACAGUAGGGCUUGAAAUUUAGAUCAGGUGGCCGUACAUGCCCUCCAUGCAACAGUGACUUGAGGAAAGACCCUUGGGGAACAAGGGUGCUGACCCUGAGGAUACAUGAAGGGAGACAUUCUGGGAUUGAGGGAGUGGCAAGUGGAAAGGCCCUGAGAUGGAAGAAUGCUUGGUGAGUCCAAGGAAGAACAGAAGUAACAGGAAGAGCAGCGGGCCAGAAGCAAAGAGAAAGCGUUGAUGGUUUCAUGCAGCAUGGUGACCAAGCUCGUGAUCGGAAAAGAGGAGUGGAGAUGAGCGUGUGAGAUACGCUGCAAAGGCCACCAUCUGCAAACCAAGAAGAGGGCCCUCAGCAAGCACCAGUUCUAUCAGCAUCUUGAUCUUAGACAACCAAGACCCCAGAACUGUGAGAAAUAAAUGUUUGCUGUUGAAGCCACUGGUCGAUGGUAAUCUGCUAUAGCACCCUGAACAGAAGAAGACAGGGUAGUUAAGAAACAGAGGCUAUAAGAAGCCAUGGAGGAGAAAAACCAGUUUUGCGACUCCAACAUACUGACCCAUAUGUAACACUCUCAUUCCAAAAAUAAAACAAAAUUAAAAGUAUGUUACAAGAUGAAUUUUCAACUCUCAAAAACAGGCCAAAGGCAGCCUAAAAAGUAAAUCUUAAUGUCUGAGAUCACACCUUAUGUGUGUAAAUAUCCUUAAGGUAGGGCUUUAUUACUUAUUUUAAGAUCAAGGCUAUGUUCUGGUGAAGCAUCAUCUUAAAAGUUUAUUUGUAAGCCCCAUUGUGAAAACAGUGAAACUAGGAGAAGGAAAUGUUUUCCUUUGCAACUACUCCAGGAAAGAAUCCAGUAAUAUGUGUGCAACUUUUUUUAACAGAAAAAAUAAAGAGUUUGAGCAUAUGCCAAAGAACAAGGAGAUCCCCAGAGCAUAAGGCUGUUUGGCAACAGAUAUGAGUAGAUGAGGUCAGAGCCUAAGGAACAGCAGAGCCAGAAGUGGUCAUGAAGGCUCUUGGCUAAAUCCCAAGGGUCUAUUUUCAGCAGGUUGGGAUAGCUCUGGUGGUCACUCCAGCAUCUUCUCUUCUUGCGGGCUUGACUCCCUCAAGUUGUCAGUGGAGGCCACAUUCCAGCAUCCUUCCAUUUCUCCACCUGAAGGGUGUUCCCUUUUUCUGUCUCCCAACAAAUUCAGAAAGUUGAGGAGAGUUCCACUGAGUUGAAUGGCUUCUCAGAGGCACAGUCUCAGGGGCAAAUUCUAAGUCAAGAGUCCCAAGAACAUUGUGGAGAAUCUGAAAUUCAGAAGGUUCUGUGCUUUAAGUUGGACUUUAUAUACCUUUAAACAAUACUGAUGCUUGUAUACAGAAACUGGACUUAGUAUAUACUAACAUGAGUAAGAUCAUUCUUAAGUGUGAGGCACAAUGAGGUUAGAAGAUAUCCAGACAAUUAUUAUUUAAUUUCUGUUUCUAAGGAAAAAAGGUCCAAAAUGUAUUUCAAACUUUGGGGGGGAAAAAAAACUAGUAAUAAUUUUAAAUAUAGUAACACUCUUCAUACCACUGUAUAUAUUGAUUGGAUUCUUUUGGUUACUAAUGAUAGAAAAAAUGACUCAAAUUAACUCAGAAAGAAAGUGUAUUGGCUCAUCUAGCUGUGAAGUCCAAGAGUGGACACAAACAUAGAAGAAAUUUACAUGUUGGGUAUGGCAGAUUCCAGGGCCUCAGAUGAUAUUCAGCUGCUUUUCUUUCUCCACCUCUAGUUUUAUUUCCAGUAUGCGUUGGCCUCAUUUUCAUUCAGCUAUCAUGUAAUUUGAUAGAUCACAGACAAAAUCAUACAGAAAGUAGGAGGACUAGUCUCCCAAAGAAAGUGGAACUGAGAACACAAAAACUUUUGUCUGCUAUAACUGUAUUUCUUUUUUUUAUUGAAGUAUAAUUGAUUUACAUUAUUAUAUUAGUUUCAGAUGUAUAGCACAGUGACUGAAUACUUUUAUAGAUUAUAUUCCAUUUAAAGUUAUUAAAAAUAAUGGCUUUAUGUCCCUAUGCUGUACAAUAUAUCCUUGUAAUUUAUCUAUUUUAUACAGAGUCAUUUGUAUCCCUUAAUCCCAUAUCCCUAUUUUGUUCUGCCCACUGAUAACAACUAGUUUGUUUUCAAUAUCUGUGGAUUAAUUUCUGUUUUGUUAUAUCCAUUUGUUCGUUGUUGGUUUUUUUUAAGAUUCUACAUGUAAAUAAUUCAGUCAGUUCAGUUCAAUUGCUCAGUCAAUUCCCGUAACGUGAGGGUUUUCCAUCCAUCUCCUGCCUUACCCAUUCCACAUAACAGCCCAAGUCUCUAUCACUGCAUCUUCUGCACCCAUGAGGGCAGAUACUCCCUCUGAUGCACUUUUAGAAAGCAAAAGUUGACUAUGUUUAUUUCCUGUACCGAGACAAACAGCAGUCUCUGUCACCACCAGUAGUUAUGAUAGGGUUCAUUUCUAGCCAGUGAAUUUAAUUGGCUAUAUUUCUAGAGUGCCAGCAUCAGCAGAGCUUCGCCAGUUUAUCAAUGACUGUUAUUUCAUCCACUGAAUGAAAUCCACCAGCCAAAAAGGGCAUAAAUCCACAGCAAUAAAGACAUUCAGUGGUUAAAUAGUCUCUAGCAUGUAUGACUGCUUGAUUGCACAAUGAGCUCAUAGAGAAACUGUUACACUGAACACUGGCACUUAUGUGGAUCUCAGAAGAAUGGGGCUCAAUAGACAGAGUGAGGGUCUUCAUGGAGCCUUAAUUUACUUUUUAAGGACCCAAGGGCUU